rnacentral:lncRNA from 1 species
CGAAUCCUUUCGGAAGAAUAACAUAUUAAUGUGUUGUUAAAAUUCAUACAAGACGAGUAUACUAAAGAACUUUUAAUAAAAUAUUAUUUUGCUCUCAAAUAACAUGUAACACAAUUAUGACAUGAUUAUGAUAACCAAGACAAAAAAAAAAUCCGGUCAACGUCGAUUACACAGCCGGCGAGCCUAACUAGAUAUAGCCAAUCAAGCAAGAGCAAGGAACCUCAAGCCUACACACGAAGAUCUCCACCCGACGAAGAAAACGAAGAUGAAGAAGAGCAAAGCUUUAGAAUCCACGAACGUAGCGACGGAAUCUCACCUCCUCCAUGACAGAAACCACAGAUCCAUCGGAAAAUCUCACUGAAAAGAUAUAAACUUUAACUAAAGAAACAAACCCACCCAAAGCCAAAAGAAGCUAAAAUCAAAGAUUUAAACCACAGAAAGAGAAACCCAAUGGAAAAUUAUACAUACAACGAAAGCCAAACCGACGUCGUGACUCAGGAAGCCCACAAACGCCGGCCGGAAACAUAUAAAAAGACAGAGGUUUUUAGAGAGAAGGUAGAGAGAAGGUAAAGAGAAGAUAGAG